rnacentral:rRNA from 1 species
CCAGCCUGCCCAGUGACUACGGGUUCAACGGCCGCGGUAUUUUGACCGUGCAAAGGUAGCGCAAUCACUUGUCUUUUAAAUAGAGACCUGUAUGAAUGGCUAAACGAGGGCUUAACUGUCUCCCCCUUCAAGUCAGUGAAAUUGAUCUAUCCGUGCAGAAGCGGGUAUAAAAAUACAAGACGAGAAGACCCUUUGGAGCUUAAGGUACAAAAUUCAACCACGUCAAGAAAUUCAAUAAAAAACAAAAACUUAGUGGAUUAUGAACUUUUACCUUCGGUUGGGGCGACCACGGAGGAAAAACAAGCCUCCGAGUGGAAUGGGUUAAAUACCUAAAACUAAGAGAAACAUCUCUAAGCCACAGAAAAUCUGACCAAAAAUGAUCCGGCUUAAUGCCGAUCAACGAACCAAGUUACCCUAGGGAUAACAGCGCAAUCCUCUCCCAGAGUCCAUAUCGACGAGGGGGUUUACGACCUCGAUGUUGGAUCAGGACAUCCUAAUGGUGCAGCCGCUAU